rnacentral:snRNA from 1 species
AGCUUUGCGCCAUGGAAGUAUCAUAGCCAAUGAGGUUUAUUGGAGGCAUGAUUGUUACUAUUUAUGACAAAGAGGUAUAUGAAUGUCUUGAUAUUCUCACAGAAGUGAUGUGAGUCACUGAAAUUAUUGAGCCGUAAAUAAAAUGGCAGCCAGAUGAUAAUUAC